GAUGAACGCUGGCGGCGUGCCUAAUACAUGCAAGUCGAGCGAACAGACGAGGAGCUUGCUCCUCUGACGUUAGCGGCGGACGGGUGAGUAACACGUGGAUAACCUACCUAUAAGACUGGGAUAACUUCGGGAAACCGGAGCUAAUACCGGAGAAUAUAUUGAACCGCAUGGUUCAAUAGUGAAAGACGGUUUUGCUGUCACUUAUAGCUGGAUCCGCGCCGCAUUAGCUAGUUGGUAAGGUAACGGCUUACCAAGGCAACGAUGCGUAGCCGAGCUGAGGGGGUGAUCGGCCACACUGGAACUGAGACACGGUCCAGACUCCUACGGGAGGCAGCAGUAGGGAAUCUUCCGCAAUGGGCGAAAGCCUUACGGAGCAACGCCGCGUGAGUGAUGAAGGUCUUCGGAUCGUAAAACUCUGUUAUUAGUGAAGAACAAAUGUGUAAGUAACUAUGCACGUCUUGACGGUACCUAAUCAGAAAGCCACGGCUAACUACGUG
rnacentral:rRNA from 1 species